rnacentral:rRNA from 1 species
UACGUAGGGUGCAAGCGUUGUCCGGAAUUAUUGGGCGUAAAGAGCUCGUAGGCGGUUUGUCGCGUCUGCUGUGAAAACCCGAGGCUCAACCUCGGGCCUGCAGUGGGUACGGGCAGACUAGAGUGCGGUAGGGGAGAAUGGAAUUCCUGGUGUAGCGGUGGAAAUGCGCAGAUAUCAGGAGGAACACCGAUGGCGAAGGCAGUUCUCUGGGCCGUUACUGACGCUGAGGAGCGAAAGCGUGGGGAGCGAACAGG